CUCUAGCACAUCGGCCACUGACUCACUCUCUCUCGUUCUCUCUCUCUCUCUCUCUCUCUCUCUCUCUCUCUCUCUCUUUCUAUUUCUCUCUUUCACUCUCUGACAUUCCUGUCUGUUUGGAGUUCUGCAGAGCCGUCACCAGGAGGCUCUGUGGCCCUUACAAUGUAAACCCUGUUGAGUUUAUGCUGUUGAUCAUUAUUCACUGCUAAGACUGCUGGGCUCUGGAGCUGUGGGAGAGUGCCCACUCAGAGGAGGGGAGCAUGAACACAUUGAUCUUAUUUGGACAGAAUUUUGUCUGGGACACAUCCAAACCCAAACAGCCAAGGGAAGGACCACAACAGGGUUUUAUGGUGGAAAAAUACCCUAAAUGAUGCUGAUCCAAGCCGGAAGAUAGAGGAUGACUGCUCAUGAACUCAUGGAGGAAAAUAAUCAAAACAGUGUCUUAUUGAAAGAGGAUCAACAUGCUUGGGGCAAAUUGCAUUUAGUGCUCUGCUGUAGGAUGUGAUUGGUGAUAGAUCAGUGUGUAUUAGGUAACAACAGACUUGAAUUAACUGGCUGUUAAAUCAAUAGCACUUCUCCCUCUCCUUCUCUCUCCCUGUCUGUCUUGCUCAUUCAUUUUGCGUGGUGUGUGUGUAUGUUUGUGUAUUUUCCUUAUAGACAGUGUAUAUUUUAAAAACAGCUCAUUAUACUAAUUAUCUGGUUAGAAAAUAUAUUACUAAAGGACACGGUUCUUCGAAUAUUUGAAACAACAAAUUAGUAGUACAUUAACAUAUUCUCAGGACAGCGGUUCCCAACACGGUGUUUGCAAGACAAUUAACCGGAAAGAAAUGCAGA